rnacentral:rRNA from 1 species
CAGCUGUAAACUAUGUGCGUUAGGUGUGUCAGUGACCACGUGUCACUGAGGUGCCGAAGGGAAACCGUGAAACGCACCGCCUGGGGAGUACGGUCGCAAGGCUGAAACUUAAAGGAAUUGGCGGGGAGCACCACAACGGGUGGAGCCUGCGGUUUAAUCGGACUCAACGCCGGGAAUCUCACCGGAUAAGACAGCUGAAUGAUAGUCAGGAUGAAGACUCUACUUGACUAGCUGAGAGGUGGUGCAUGGCGUAGACGUCU